UUCACACGAAAAAGACGCAGCAGCCAUCCUCCCCUCUGUCUAUCCCCCUUUCUACCUCUCUUCAUCUUACUCUUCCUUUCACCAAAUCUCGCUCAAAUCAUCCCCGGCGUUUCCCUAAUUCAUCAUAACCGACGAUUUCUUUUCCCUCCUUUCUGUCUCCUCUUCUUACCAGGUCUCCGAUGAAGCUCGUAGGUUCAGUCGGCUGAAACAAAAACUGAGAAAAUUUAAAAUAAAGAUCUGGAAAUCCACUAAAACAAAAAGAACUUCACAAAAAAUAGAAAAGGAAAAUGGCAGUGAAAAAAGGACUUCGAAGCUGCUUUAGCUUUACUGCUUUACUCUGCAAUUUCUAGGUUAUCAAGAUUUGAUGCCGAAACAUUGUGAUUUCUGUUGAAGUAGUAGCUGCACUCCAUUUUGCUUUCUUCUUAGCCUUAAAUUUGGCAUCACAAGCUUACUUUGGAAUACUAGGUAUAUCCACUCUCUACUUUUAAUUGUGAUAAAUUUGAAUGAAUGAGAUAUUGAUUGUUUUCAAACCCAGUUUUCCUCUUUAGUUUGAAUUUUUUGUUUCACCUUAGAUAAGCAUGUUGAUGAGGUCUUUAGUCUAUAAUUGGUGCAAGCUUCUUUGAGUAUUUUAGGCAUGAGUCUGAAAAAUUAAAUUUGUGAAUAGUGAUAGAAUGACUAUUUGAUUAAGGAGUAUGUAUUUUUUUUUCUUC
rnacentral:lncRNA from 1 species